rnacentral:rRNA from 1 species
AUUGAACGCUGGCGGCAUGCUUUACACAUGCAAGUCGAACGGCAGCGCGGGCUUCGGCCUGGCGGCGAGUGGCGAACGGGUGAGUAAUGCAUCGGAACGUGCCCAGUAGUGGGGGAUAGCCCGGCGAAAGCCGGAUUAAUACCGCAUACGACCUGAGGGUGAAAGCGGGGGACCGAAAGGCCUCGCGCUAUUGGAGCGGCCGAUGUCGGAUUAGCUAGUUGGUGGGGUAAAGGCUUACCAAGGCGACGAUCCGUAGCUGGUCUGAGAGGACGACCAGCCACACUGGGACUGAGACACGGCCCAGACUCCUACGGGAGGCAGCAGUGGGGAAUUUUGGACAAUGGGGGCAACCCUGAUCCAGCCAUGCCGCGUGCGGGAAGAAGGCCUUCGGGUCGUAAAACGCUUUUGUUCGGGAAGAAAUCCUCUGGGCUAAUACCCCGGGGGGAUGACGGUACCGGAAGAAUAAGCACCGGCUAACUACGUG